UCAUGUCUUUUAUCUCCACACGCUGUACUACUUUUCUUAUUUGUUUAUUUGUCUGUCUGCCCCAAUUAGAAGGUCAGCUGGACAAGGGCAGAGAUGUUUGUUCUCUCACUGCUGUUUCCCCAGCACCUGGAAGAGUGCCUAGCACAUCGGCAGGAGCCUGAGGCAUCUCAGCAUAGGGCUGCUUUGGAGAUGAAGACACCAGGCAAGCUGACUCACCACCUCGGCCAGUGACACCUGCUUUGCUUCCGCCAUAAUUAGUGCAUCAGAAGAGCAGUCUCAGGCGGGUGCCCAGAACUGGGGAGGAAUUUCCCUCAAAGAGCAGUGCCCUCUGACCAGCCAAUACUGUAUCUCCCUCCACUCAUCUUCAAAGCUGCCUUUCUCAGCGCAAAUCCAUGAGCUGGCAGCACAACCAGGCUGUCUAAGCAGGAGGAAGCCAAGAAGGAGAUGCCUUCGGUCUUCUGCCCAUCACCUGCCAGAGAACCAGGAUACUUGGUGGCAGCUGGCUUACCUUUCUCCAAACAGCCAUCUGUUGUGACAUCACUGUCAGCUGAGCCUGACUCAUCACUUGUAUCAACCAGCUUCCAGAGUGUGCCGUGUGCCCAGGGUCCUCAACCUCCUUGUCCCUAUGGCCCUGGAUGUGCUCUCUCUGCCUUGCAGCAUGGCUUCUGUGCAGCCACCAAGCAGAGAAUCGUGUGUGAUUUCUGAAGCCAAGUGUCAUGAAGGGCACUGUGGCCUCUGCUUCGGCCUCUUGUAUCUCCAGCCACGACAUCAGAAGAACACUCAAUCAGCCCUUGGGGAGAGGUCUUCAUGGAGAGAAGCUAAGGCCUCCCGCCAAUGGCCAGGUGACCUUGGGAUACAGGUCCUGCUCUCCUAAAUGAGUUUUCCAAGUUCCAUAAUCGGCUUUGAAUAUCCUCAGAGUCCCUGUGGGCGCAUGGCAGUAGGUUACGGCAGCAUCACCGGAGCUGUUUAAAAUGUAACAAACCAAUAAACUCUCAGGGAGCCCAAGGAUGCCUACCCCUGCCAUGGUUCCUGCAGUUCAGCCAGGAAAGUUGUUAAAUGCCAGCCCAUCUGGUCUGCUUGGAACCCUUGGAUGGAAAGAGGACUCACCCCUUCAAACAUCUGAACUUGAUCUCUACAAACGAGAAGGCUUGGGACCAGAAAGCCCCCAGGGUAUGCAGAAAUAACUCUCUCAAAGUCUUUUUGAGGAAACAGGGCCCCUGACCCAUCACACUGACUCAGCCUGCCCACCCCCACCAUUUUGCUCGUGGGCUUUCUUGAUGUAAAUGGAAGAAGACGAAAAACAUUCUCUUUUCUAGGUCCUCCUGGAAGAGGGCAUGGCAACCCACUCCAGUAUUCUUGCCUGGAGAAUCCCCAAG